rnacentral:rRNA from 1 species
AUUGAACGCUAGCGGGAUGCCUUACACAUGCAAGUCGAACGGAGUGGCGAACGGGUGAGUAAUGUAUCGGAACGUGCCCAGUAGCGGGGGAUAACUACGCGAAAGCGUAGCUAAUACCGCAUAAUAUUGGAGCAGCCGAUAUCGGAUUAGCUAGUUGGUGGGGUAACGGCUUACCAGGGCGACGGUCCGUAGGUGGUUUGAGAGGAAGACCAGCAACACUGUGACUGAGAACCGGCCCAGACUCCUCGUGGACGCAGACUUGGGGAAUUUUGGACAAUGGGUGAAACCCUGAUCCAGCCAUCCCGCGUGUGCGAUGAAGGCCUUCGGGUUGUAAAGCACUUUUGGCAGGAAAGCGGUACCUGCAGAAUAAGCACCGGCUAACUACGUGCCAGCAGCCGCGGUAAUAC